ensembl:lncRNA
UGUUUAAGUCAUCAAAAUAAUUUGAUCAUAAUAUGAAAGUGUACUUUGAUUUUCAUUCUUAGUAUUUUUUUCAUUGAUCUAGUAUUCUGACAGUCCAAAUUUUAUGAUUCAGUGAGUUAUGAUGGCUUUAAGAGCUUUAAGACCGCUUCCCACAAUAUACAAUAAAGCAGUGUAUUUUUUUUUUUUUUUUCAUUUUUAGCUUUAUUCCAUGAGCAACCAGAGUGCGAACAGUGCCUUCAAGUGAUGACAUUUGAAAAUACCAAAUGUCAUCAAAAGUACAAAGAACAAAGAACGCCCCCCGCGAAAAUAUUACUAAUCAUAUUUUUCAAACCACUGCUUUGAUCAACAAAAAAUAUAUAAUUUGAAAGCUUAGAGUUUGAGCUUCUCAAUGCAUGUAGCCAAAGUAGUACAGAGUUAUUUUUUGAUAAAUGACAAACAAAAAGAAAAAAAAAUCAUAAUUUACAAAAUAUAUUUUUUGUGCCAUGUACUCUAAUAUGUCAAAAACGUCAUACAGCUCAGAUAUUCAUGUGUCAUAUGCCAUUUGAAAGGUCUCAUCAAGUAGAAUAAAACAAACAUAAUUGUUUGGGGCUUUGAAUAAACUUGAGCGAGUUUUUGUACAACAAGUCACCCCCAGACCCAUAUGAAAAUAAUAUACUGAUAUCACCAUUUUGCUCGUAACUUUAUAAAACAUAAAACAAAAAUAGACACCAUUAUUUACAACUUCUGAUUAAAAAGAGCCCAAAAUCACUAUAAUCCGUCAUUAUCUAAAGAUAUUCCUCAUGAAUUUAUAACACACAUAAAACUGCAUGUGGUUAUUUUGCUCGUAACUUCAGAAACAUGCAUAUGUCAUAGAAAAUGGCACUCAUUAUUUGCAGAAAAUUCUCCCAAUUAAAAAGAACCCAAACUCCAUAAUCCAUCAUUUAGAUAUAAAUCUCUCUCUCAUAAAGCUAUAACACAUAAAAAUUUAUCAGGAUAUGUAGCUUAUCAAAAAAAAUCCCAAAUUUACCAUAAUCUGUCUAUCAGAUCCAUAGAUAUUCCUUAUAUAGCACAACACAUUAAACCAGACAGGGGCAUGUAUGGCGCAGCAAAGAAAAACAGCGCUAUGCUUCACAUUGCAUUUUUAUUCAUAAUUUCACGAAACAUGCAUAUAAUUGCAUGUCAAUAUUUUCAGAAAAUUCUCCCGAUUAAAAUAAGCCCUAAGUCACCAUAAUCCGUCAAUAAGAUCCAAAGAUAUUGCUAUAACACAUAAAACCCAACAGGCGCACUUCAGGCACAGCAGGACAAACUGUAGUUCCCUCUC